GCAAGUGAUGAUUGAAUAUUCUUCACUUUGACCUGAGUAACCAGUGAUGAUUACCUUCACUCUGAGC